AUAACACGCAGAAUGGGAAAUAUUUAUAAUCUACCAUUAAAAAAUAAGUUGUCAGAACGUCGUGUCGCAGUUGCGCAAUGUUGCGUAAUAACGCUGCUACAGCCCUGUGGCGUCUUACAGUUCUACGUUGUCACAAUGUUGUGGGCACGUAGACCGCGACGUUGCCAUAGUAGAAAUACAACACGCCACAGACAUUGCCACACUGACAUUAUAAUAAACACUAGACGCCCUAUUGGCCGCUGGACCGUACGUCAACGGCUCCGCCAUAUUGUGCGGGGCAUCGUUCCCAUAACGCGCAUAACUGGAAAUGAGAAAAACGCCUGCUUCGUGUGGCUGCUUGGGGCUGUACAAAUCGCUGCACAAUUGAAAACAGGGAAUGACCUUUCACAGCCCGUUGCAACCAGGGCUACACACGCCUCCAGGAAAGCUGGAGAGCCUGUCAGUGCACUGUUCUCACCAUCUCCAAGAGAUUGAUGGAAAAUAUAUAGCCUUUUGUUGUUAUUAUUAUUAUACCAAUACUAUAUUAUUAUUGUAGUCACUAUUUAAUUUACUAUUUUUAUUAUUGUCUAUAUUAUUCUGCAAUUGAUAUUACAUUGUAUUUGCGAUUAUUAUUAUCAUAAUACCAAUACUAUUAUAUUAUACCACUUGAGAUUAUCAAUCUAGUUAUGCUGUUAUAUUCUUGUGUAUAUUCUGUAAAUGUUACUACAUAUUCUAUUGCUAUUAUUAUAGUAUUAUUAUACUAUAUGCUAUUAUCAAUAUAUUAUGAUAUUAUUGUACUUAUACUAUUAUAUAAUUGUACUAUUCGUUACUAUUUUAUUUGCUGUAUAUUGUUUGUUUAUUGACAAUAUAUACUUUAUUAUUGACUAUAUUAUUAUAUUAUGUACUACAUAAACUAUUUCUUAUAUAUAGUGUAUAACAAACUAUUUACUAUUCUCACUUUCUUAUAUUUACUAUUUGCAUUGCACUGUAGUUGUACCAUAUAAUUACCAUAAAGGAUCCAUCAGUUAUCUUUGUUAUUGUGUGUUUUGGAAUAUCUAUCUGCAAAUAUCUGUAUCAUUUUAGUGCUAUAAAAAUACAGAAAGCAGCCUGUGUGAUUUGUAUUUGAUGAUUUAUUUCAUUUUCUCAAUGGUGGUCAAUUCUAAGCUCAAGAAAAGCUAAAAUUGGGUUAAAGACAGAAAAUGCCUUUUCCACAAUAAGAAAACUUUAUUUCAUUUAAUGUGAAAAUUAAAUUAUAUCUCAGUAUGGGCGUUUUCACAAUUCUUAUGCAAGAAUAAAGCAGCCAAAUACA